UACGUAGGGUGCAAGCGUUGUCCGGAAUUAUUGGGCGUAAAGAGCUUGUAGGCGGUUUGUCGCGUCUGCUGUGAAAUUUCGGGGCUCAACCCCGAACUUGCAGUGGAUACGGGCAGACUAGAGUUCGGCAGGGGAGACUGGAAUUCCUGGUGUAGCGGUGAAAUGCGCAGAUAUCAGGAGGAACACCGGUGGCGAAGGCGGGUCUCUGGGCCGAUACUGACGCUGAGGAGCGAAAGCGUGGGGAGCAAACAGG
rnacentral:rRNA from 1 species